CCGUCUGCUUGUGUCCUUUCUCUCUCUCGCCCAUCUUUUCCAGGAUUGACCGCCUUUGCCCCCACAAAUAACUAGGUCCCGCGGGUCGGGGCAGAGUGGCACCCAACGUGGGGCUCGAAGUACGGGUCUCUCCGGACGGACCCUGAAGCGAAGAAGAAGGCCUUCGAAACCACACAAGCGUGAUCAGCUCCCUCUGACCCGAAGAGACUACACGACCUGAAAUGAUGGAAGAAAAACAACUGUUUCCAUGGACUGUGAUCCUUUGCCUCCAGCUGAUAUAUGUUCAUGGUGGACUUAAGCAGCACAGGAAUGGGCUCCUUCCCUAUCUCCUUCCUUUCCUUGGUCCCCUGCUUAUCUUAUUAAUAAUUCUUUCAAUAGAACCAGUUCUCUUCAACAAAAUUACGGCUUUUAUUAAACAGCAGAUUGAGGCCCUAAAGGUACACACCAUCCAGGUACACUAUCAAAGGCUAGAGAUGGUCAGCCAAGACUAUGAAUAGGCCUAAUGCUAAUCAUCCCAGUGAGCUGAACCGGUUAGCCAGUGACGGGUAAGAGAAUCCUCAGUGGUCUUCUGUUCCCCCCCUUUUUUUUUU